CUUGGGUUUUUUUUAAGCCAGUUUAUAGUUUUUUAUACAGUUUUUUUUUUUAAGCCAGUUUAUUUGUUUCUAAGUGGUACUGGCCCCAAAGGAGAGAACUUCCUCAUGGAGGUAGUGCAGGGCCCUAUACAAACUCUUCUAGAGACCAAGGGUAUGAUGAUCAUUUAGUUACUGAAUUAUGGUCUUGAAUUUGGCAAACCUUUCAAGAUACAGGCGAGUGUGAGGUCCACUCAGUGUGGAGGACCAUGAUUUCCUUGUCAUCAUCUUUCCUAUUGUUACUUUUGUGAAAGGACACUUUGGAUUAUUUAACCCUUUCCUUUGCUGGCAAUUUACCAUAUGCCUGAAAAGAGAAGAGAAAAAAAUGUUUUUUAAUCCAAGGAGAUUAAUUGUUCACAGCAAGUUGUUCUGCUCUUUUUGGUCACAGGCAUUUGACUGCUUACAUGUGGAAUGUUAUACAUGGGUUGUUAUGGAAUUGGAAUUUUCUACCUUUCAGUUCAAGACCCCUCGGAUUUAGUGACUGCAUCAGAUGAAAAAUCAGAUUGUCAGCAAGAACACUGUUUAGGAUGGUAUUGAAAUCACAAAACCUUGGGUUUGCUCAACAGUGUAACCCAAUUUUGUCAUAGACCAUGUAGCUUUGUCUCUGCAUGCAGUGUCUGUCUGUGGAGAGACCUUCUGGUAUAUUGGAAAGAAUUGGAAAAGCUGUUUGCUCUGCUAAUUUCAUUGUGUAAAUGAGUUCCCCUUCUUUUGAAACGUUAGCCUUGUGUUAGCAAAACAUAAAAUAGAAGGAAACUCAUUACACACUCUUCUAAUGGUAAGGCAGAACUAAUAAGAGAAUGUAUUUAAAAUUAAUUGUGGGACUGUAAAAAUGAACGGGUAUGUGAAUAGGCAUGGGGGGAGGAGAAGGAGAGCUUAGAGAUAGUCUUGUUUUCCCAGGAGCCAGCCUGGAUCAUUUGUUGGCAGUACAUAUUGGCUGAAGUCAGUUUUCAUUUCAAGAUGUUUUCUUCCAAUGGGCUUUUGGUGUAGGAUGUCGGAGAACCAAGAACAGGAGGUAAGAAUGUGGUCUCCAGGAAAUAGGAGGUGAUCACGGUGCGAGUUCAGGACCCCCGAGUGCAGAAUGAGGGCUCUUGGAAUUCUUAUGUGGAUUAUAAAAUAUUCCUCCAUACCAACAGCAAGGCCUUUACUGCCAAGACUUCCUGUGUUCGGCGUCGCUACCGUGAGUUCGUGUGGCUGAGAAAGCAGUUACAGAGAAACGCUGGUUUGGUGCCUGUACCUGAACUUCCUGGGAAGUCAACCUUCUUUGGCAGCUCAGAUGAGUUCAUUGAGAAGCGACGACAAGGUUUGCAGCACUUCCUUGAAAAGGUCCUGCAGAGCGUGGUUCUCCUGUCAGACAGCCAGUUGCACCUCUUCUUGCAAAGCCAGCUCUCGGUGCCCGAGAUAGAGGCCUGUGUCCAGGGCCGAAGCUCCAUGACUGUUUCUGAUGCCAUUCUUCACUAUGCUAUGUCAAACUGUGGCUGGGCCCAGGAAGAGAGGCAGAGCUCUUCUCAUCUGGCUAAAGGAGACCAGCCUAAGAGUUGCUGCUUUCUUCCAAGAUCCAGUAGGAGGAGCUCUCCCUCACCACCACCCAGUGAAGCAAAUGACCAUUUAGAAGUGUGGGCUCCAGUUGUUGACUCUGAGGUUCCUUCCUUGGAAAGUCCUACUCUCCCAACCCUCUCUUUACCAUCGUGCUGUGAUUUUGCAAGACCUGAUGAGGGAAGCUCCACUCCUCUGUCUGUGAGGAGGGCCACAGGAGGGGACCAUGCUGUGCCUUUGGACCCUGGUCAGUUAGAAACAGUUUUGGAGAAGUGAGCUCUGAGUUCUGCUCCAAUGCAGACAGAGAAGAAGCAGGCCAGGAGACUUACCCAGGUGGGACUGGGCACAGGGCAGGUGUAGGGGGAGGCUGGGCUGUGUUUUACAGUCGCCUUUGCUCAGGUUGGCUGCACAGAGGUUGAUCAUGAUAGCCCCUCGUGCCUCCUCCAUAAGAAUAAACACUGUGCAGAUGUUUGUCAGUUAAGCAUAAGGCCCAGGGGCUGUUGAUUUUGAACAGAAACUCAUAUUUACUCUCCUGGGAACUGAAUUUCUUCAGAUGAUUUGUUUAUAGGCCCAGGAGCACCUCAGGUGACUGGUUUUGGGGACCUGUAAGUGGCAGAUUCUAAGCUGCUGUAUUGAAUAUUGUCCCAACAGGAAUGUUUAUGUAGUUGUAUUCUCAUUUUGCCUGGCUCCUGUUUUAACCGUAGCCCCUAAAGCACUUUGUUUCUGGGAGGCUGGCCUCUUGCCUACCUCCUUGCAUGGACAGGACAGUGAAUAUUUACUCUUCCACCUCCUUGCUUUUCCUCCACUGAUACCACUGAAUGGAACUGGUGCUGUGACUUCUGCCGCUGGGGUUUCUGGCCUCUCCCAAGACCUCAGCCUGGCUGAGUGGGGCCUGAGACCCAUGUAACAGCUCAUGGCCAUCCAUGAGAAAGGAGUAGUUGGCCACAGCCCAAGGGAGAGGCAACAACUCGGGGGCCUUUGUUUUGGAAAGGCUGUCCGGGCUGACACAGUCUCUUCUAGUUAUAAAGCAGCGACAUGGCUAUCUUUUCUGCAGGCUUAGAGUGGGCUCCUUUCAUUUUUGAGUCCUUUUCUUCUCUUUUAGUAACAGUUCCCUGCCCCCAGGGUUUCAGCCGCCAGUGUCCCUGGGCUGUAUUGCAGGGGGGCCGUCUGUUCAGUCCAGUAGGGCUCAAGGGCUUUGUUUCUGCCUAGAAGAGAGGGCUCUGGGGAUGGAGAUGAGGAACAACAAGCCCUCCUUCAGACAAUGAGGCAUUCUGCCCUCCUGCUGCCAUUAUUCCUCUUCACUGAGAGCCAGAGCUGGUGGAGCGGAGUGCCGCAGGCAUUCUGUAUUACUCUGCUCUUAGGUUCUUCUCUCACCCACUCCACCUUCCUAUGGCCAUCCUACCCUGUCUGUGGGCUCUUUUACUACCAGCCUAUGCUGUGGGACUGUCAUGGCAUUUAGUUCAGAGUUGAGGGGCUUUGGCCUGAAAUAAAAUGCAAGUAUUUAAGACUGUUGUUGCAAUUUGUGUCUAACAAGGUGUAGCAGAGAAGGAGGGAGUAAGGGCUGGCAGUACUUUCAUAAAUCAUGAAUUUAUCAGCGUGGAAAUAAUGGUUCAGAACUGUGCACUGCAGCUCUCCUGCAUUGUGUGCGCAGCUCAAGUUCACCACUGGAGGAAGGAUUGCCUUCCAAAGAGCCGGAAUCCAGCUCUUCUCACAGUUCUGGGCAUGAACCUUGUUAGUAUAAUUUACCUGAUGCUGCUUCCGUGCUCGAAGCCUGUCUGAGGUGCCAGGUGCUGAAAGAGAAAUAAAGUUUGUCAACUGGCA